rnacentral:rRNA from 1 species
GUUGAACGCUGGCGGCAUGCUUUACACAUGCAAGUCGGACGGCAGCGCAGAGAGGCUUGCUUCUUGGCUGGCGAGUGGCGCGCGUGAGAGUCAUAUAUCGGACCGUACCGAGUGAUGGGGAAUAACUCAUCGAAAGAUUACCUAAUACGGCAUAUUUACUGAGGAGGAUAGCACAGGAGCUUAGGGCCGUGCGGUAGUCGCGUAGACCUUGUCUGAUUAGCUAGUUGGUGGGGUAAAGGCCUACCAAGGCGACGAGCAGUAGCGGGUCUGAGAGGAUGAUCCGCCACACUGGAACUGAGACACGGCCCAGACUCCUACGGGAGGCAGCAGUAGGGAAUUUUGGACAAUGGGCGAAAGCCUGAUGGAGCAACGCCGCGUGAGUGAAGAAGGCCUUCGGGUUGUAAAGGACUGUUGUCAGGGAAGAAAAAGUUUUUGCUUAUACCGACAGGUGAUGACGGUACCUAAAGAAUAAGCACCGGCUAACUACGUG